UCUUUAAUAUGAUCUGAAAUAACCAGCUACUGAGUGGUGGGUCAGUGCUGUGAGCUUGUCUUACAUCGAAGUUCAUGUUCUCUCCUCUGUUGCCUCACUUUACAGCUUAGUACAUGAACCUACUUGGAAUUCAGCAGAUGCUUCUUGAGGUGGCUUCACUUGUAGAAAAACUCCCGUUAAAUAUUAGAUGAUUUAUUAAAUUUAAAACCAACUGGCCCUACUACCUUUAAUAAUUGUGUAUGCUGCAAUAUGUGGUUCAAAAUCUCAUUGCUACAUCUUGAUCCAGAUCUGGAAUGGGGAUUUACAGCCAGUGCUUUAUGUAUGGAUGGAAGCAGUAAAAGCAUCCAACUGCACCAAGUGGAGAAUGGGAUAAGGCACAAACACUGCUAUGUCAGAGCCUCAGGUGCAGCCAAUACUUAAUAUUAUCUGUAGUAUAAAUUGGCCUGUUUCUCAGCCUUCCCUGCAGUUGCUUUGAGAGCCAGGAUGCUGGAGUCAAAUGAGUAAGUUGACUCUUUUCUCUUUAUGUUAUCUUUUUAAAAAUUGUGUGUGGUCUGUCUUCUCCUCUUCCUUUUGGUCUUAAGUCUUAAAGUCCAUCCUAUAGUUUCAGUAAGAAUUCAUGAGGGAGCAAAAG
rnacentral:lncRNA from 1 species